CCCUAGGCUUUUUUUAGUUGCAUCCUCAAUUAAUUGAUCCAUUCUUUCUCUAAUUUAUUCAUGUUAACUCUCAAGAGGUAUAAUUUUUUUUUUUCAUGAGAAGAGGUAAUUUAUUGGAAUAUAAACAUUCAGAGAACUUGUAAGGUAGAAAACAACAUAUACAGAACCUUGUUGUAAAAAGACAGCUGAGGUAUUCAUCCAUCAUCUAGCCUACCCAAGUGAUAUUAUUUCUUUCUGUUAGAAUAUAUGACAGAGGAGAUGGGGAAGGAGGGAGCAAGGACCCUCUCACCUCUUGGUUUAAAAAAAAAAUGUCGUUUCUGCAGAAGCUGAUUCUGGAGUCAGGGCCCCUUCACCCCGGGGGCCUCCUCCAUUGGUGCACUGACAAACUUUGCCUUCUGGAUGAGAAGCCUCUGUUGCCCGCGGGAAUUCUACAGAGAUCCUGUGAGGCCAGGAUGACUUUACUAGCUGGGACCACGUGACUGCAGAGACUUCCGUUGGCUUUUCUGCUUCCUCUGGGCGGAAAGUCCAUCCUGCGUGAGAAAUACACGCUAUUUCCAUGACUUUGAGUCCAAUGAGAUGCCUUGGGAUGAGCCAGGGAAGGAGGCCCCUGCGGUACCUCCUCCUGCCUUGGCGAUGCUUGUUUUUGGAGACACCCUUUCAGGCCCGCAAGAUCUGACUUCAAUGGGGAGGAUCCCCUGCGGCAGAAAGGAGUUCAUUUUAGAGAUGAAGAAAAUGAGGAAAACAGGGUGAAAUGACUUUCCCCAAGUUGCACAUCUAGUAAAUGCUUGCUACAUGCCAGACAAAAUGAUUCAAAAACAGAUUCAAAGAGCUGAAAUGACUUACUUGCUCAAGGUCACAAUCGAUUCCAGAAUCAUCAUUCAAACUUAAAUUCUCUGAUUCUAAGCCCAGUGUUCCUUUCAAUAAACUAUGUCAGAACCUUAUAAAUCUAGUAGUUGUUCCAUUUUAUUAACCUGCCACUAUAAUUUAGAUUAAUCUUCUUACCAAGUUUCUCUUAUUGUAACUUCUAAUUCUAUAUUAUAAAAUUAUAAAUAUAAAUUAUAUAAUCACUUUCUUCAAUGUCAUUGUACUUCCAUAGAUACCACAAUCACCAUGGGUCUAUGGAAGAAAUUUUAGUGGCAAUGACUAAUAAAUUUA